UAUCACUUUACUCAGGAGAUGUUGCUGAACAUAGGGGUGUUCUUUGGCGGAAACCCUUAAAGUUCUCAGUACAUGUAUUUUUAAAUUGUUAUGUGUUUCAAAAAAUCACCAAUUAUUAUUUCUUUAUUUAAUUUGGCAUAGAUUGGGGGUAAAAUGGUUGCAUGAAAAGAGUCAAAAUACCCCAAGUUUAAUACCUUAACUUGUCUUCUUCUAAAAAAUAUAUACAUGCGAAGGGUUAUUCAGG